GACGUAGGGCGCGAGCGUUGUCCGGAUUUAUUGGGCGUAAAGAGCUCGUAGGCGGCUUGUCGCGUCGGCUGUGAAAACCCGCGGCUCAACUGUGGGCGGGCAGCUGAUACGGGCAGGCUGGAGUUCGGUAGGGGAGACUGGAAUUCCUGGUGUAGCAGUGAAAUGCGCAGAUAUCAGGAGGAACACCGGUGGCGAAGGCGGGUCUCUGGGCCGAUACUGACGCUGAGGAGCGAAAGCGUGGGGAGCGAACAGG
rnacentral:rRNA from 1 species